AGCGAACGCUGGCGGCAGGCCUAACACAUGCAAGUCGAACGAACUCUUCGGAGUUAGUGGCGGACGGGUGAGUAACACGUGGGAACGUGCCUUUAGGUUCGGAAUAACUCAGGGAAACUUGAGCUAAUACCGGAUGUGCCCUUCGGGGGAAAGAUUUAUCGCCUUUAGAGCGGCCCGCGUCUGAUUAGCUAGUUGGUGAGGUAAAGGCUCACCAAGGCGACGAUCAGUAGCUGGUCUGAGAGGAUGAUCAGCCACAUUGGGACUGAGACACGGCCCAAACUCCUACGGGAGGCAGCAGUGGGUAAUCUUGCGCAAUGGGGGAAAGCAUGACGCAGCCAUGCCGCGUGAAUGAUGAAGGUCUUAGGAUUGUAAAAUUCUUUCACCGGGGACGAUAAUGACGGUACCCGGAGAAGAAGCCCCGGCUAACUUCGUG
rnacentral:rRNA from 1 species